UCGCUGUGACAUUGGAAUAUGAACUAAGAUGUCCAUUGGCAGGGGAAUGGCGUCUUAGAGCAAGAAUUUUCUACUGCGAUAGAGACUACGUGUGUUUGUUUCGUUCAUUAGAGAAAACUUAUCAUGAGUCCUGUGGGGGACUGGAUUACAGCAGCACAGGUAGCAAACUUAUAUUAGAACCGUUUUUUAAUAAAGCACAAUGCAGCAACAACCGAUAUCAGCCUUUUCCAUUCUCAACUGAUGGAAGUAGUAAAUGUGUGUAUCAAAAGUCUUUUUGUAAUGAAGAGGGCCAAUUGGUAUUCGUUAAAGGAAGUUUUGAAAAUGACACGACCUGUGAAUGCGACUACUCAAGAGGGUAUACAUUUGUAACCAAGCCAAGACACAACUGUUACUGUAAACCUUACGAAGAGGACUGUUCCUGUCAUAAACAAACCUGUAAUAAAAAAAAUAUUGAAUGUCUUCAGGAUAAUGCUGCUUUUAUGAAUACCUCAUAUUUAGAAUU